UAGAGUUUGAUCCUGGCUCAGAUUGAACGCUGGCGGCAGGCCUAACACAUGCAAGUCGAGCGGUAACAUGUCUAGCUUGCUAGAUGAUGACGAGCGGCGGACGGGUGAGUAAUGCUUGGGGAUCUGCCUUAGAGUGGAGGAUAACCAUUGGAAACGAUGGCUAAUACUGCAUAGUAUCUGCGGAUUAAAGGGGGCUUAGGCUCUUGCUUUAAGAUGAACCCAAGUGGGAUUAGCUAGUUGGUGAGGUAAUGGCUCACCAAGGCGACGAUCCCUAGCUGGUCUGAGAGGAUGAUCAGCCACACUGGAACUGAGACACGGUCCAGACUCCUACGGGAGGCAGCAGUGGGGAAUAUUGCACAAUGGGCGAAAGCCUGAUGCAGCCAUGCCGCGUGUAUGAAGAAGGCCUUCGGGUUGUAAAGUACUUUCAGUUGUGAGGAAGGGUGUGUAGUUAAUAGCUGCGCAUCUUGACGUUAGCAACAGAAGAAGCACCGGCUAACUCCGUGCCAGCAGCCGCGGUAAUACGGAGGGUGCGAGCGUUAAUCGGAAUUACUGGGCGUAAAGCGCAUGCAGGUGGUUCAUUAAGUCAGAUGUGAAAGCCCGGGGCUCAACCUCGGAACUGCAUUUGAAACUGGUGAACUAGAGUACUGUAGAGGGGGGUAGAAUUUCA
rnacentral:rRNA from 1 species